rnacentral:rRNA from 1 species
GGAUUAGAUACCCUGGUAGUCCACGCCGUAAACGAUGAUCACUAGGUGUGGGGAGUUGAACCUUUCCGUGCCGGAGUUAACACAAUAAGUGAUCCACCUGGGGAGUACGACCGCAAGGUUGAAACUCAAAGGAAUUGACGGGGGCCCGCACAAGCAGUGGAGUAUGUGGUUUAAUUCGAAGCAACGCGAAGAACCUUACCAGGUCUUGACAUCGAGUGACGAUCCCAGAGAUGGGAUUUCCCUUCGGGGCACGAAGACAGGUGGUGCAUGGUUGUCGUCAGCUCGUGUCGUGAGAUGUUGGGUUAAGUCCCGCAACGAGCGCAACCCUUACUAUUAGUUGCUACGCAAGAGCACUCUAAUAGGACUGCCGUUGAUAAAACGGAGGAAGGUGGGGAUGACGUCAAAUCAUCAUGCCCUUUAUGACCUGGGCUACACACGUACUACAAUGGCGUUUAACAAAGAGAAGCGAAACCGCGAGGUUGAGCAAAUCCCCAAAAAACGUCUCAGUUCAGAUUGCAGGCUGCAACUCGCCUGCAUGAAGUCGGAAUUGCUAGUAAUCGUAGGUCAGCAUACUACGGUGAAUACGUUCCCGGGCCUUGUACACACCGCCCGUCAAACCAUGAGAGUUGGCAACACCCGAAGCCGGUAGUCUAACCGCAAGGAGGACGCCGUCGAAGGUGGGGUCGAUGAUUAGGGUUAAGUCGUAACAAGGUAGCCGUAUCGGAAGGUGCGGCUG